GCGAGCGUUGCAUAGUGGUUUGAGCACUGGACUACGACUCUUGAGACCAGAGUUCAAUUCCCAGCUCAAUCA